rnacentral:lncRNA from 1 species
UGUGUGUCCUGCCUGGGUUGCCACUUUCUUCUUAACCCUUCUCCUAGUAAAAGAAGGGAAAAUGACACCUUGGCUUCCAGGUGUUUUCCUUUUAGUAAUACUCAAAGGUAUUUGUUCUUCUUUCAUAUAGGCAAACUGUUAUAUUAUAGUGGAUAAUGAACCCACAGUUUAAUUGUAGGUCUUUCUUUCAGGUGUCCAGUCACAAAUCCAGCUCAAAGAAUCAGGAGGGGGUGUCAAAAGGCCUGGAUAUUCCCUCCGCCUCUCCUGCCAAGCCUCUGGGUUCAACUUCUGGAGCUAUGCAAUGAGCUGGGUGAGACAAGCUCUUGGAAAGGGCCUGGAAUGGGUGGCCCUUAUAGGUACAUCUUCAACUCCCACUUACUACUCGGAUUCUGUCAAAGGAAGAUUCACCAUUUCCCGGGAUGAUUCAAGCAGCCAGCUGUCUUUGCAAAUGAACAACUUGAAACCAGAGGACACUGCUGUUUAUUACUGUGCAAGGCA